UCCGCAGCUAGACUUUUGCAGGACCUCUAC
rnacentral:piRNA from 1 species